rnacentral:lncRNA from 1 species
ACGAGUAGAAAAAGGUCAUCAUCCACAUGUAUAGCAGCCAAAUGAAUAACUUACCAGAACUUGGCAAAAUUCUACAUUUAGUAUGCAGCACUCCUGGUUUCAUUUUGCUAGUAGAAAUAUAUAAAUAUUGUGAGGAUCUUGGAGAUAAAUUAAAGAAAUACAAAUAGAGAAAUUAUGUACACAUGUUAAAAAAUAGGUGAUCCCCUCGUUAACAAAACAAUGGGUUUGCUGUAACAUAAUACAUCGGCAAUUUUUUGCAUCCUGAAAAAGCAGCAUGUAUCACUACGGGUAAAGUAUGCGCCACCCCAUGAACACCCUUGCUGGUCAUGUAUCAUCCGUACAUGCAUGUCUUUGCAUCCAUCGCUUCCACCAAAGUAGAUUUUUUUUUGAGAAGAUCCACCAAAGUAGAUGUGCCGGUGGACUUGAUCAGGGCCGUUGUCUGCAAUCUAGGCCUUCUUCCAGCACAGGUUUCUCAGAUUGAACUCAACUCGUGAGGGAGAAUAAGAUUGAGGAUUCUACACAUAAAGGUAUAGAAGAUGUGGAAUUAGAUUGAGAUUAACCAUUAUCGACUUAAGGAAAGAAAGCUACAACAUAAGAAUGAGGAAUUAGAAUUGCAUGUCCUUGCAUCCAUGGCAUCCACAAAAUCAGAUGUGUUGGUGGACUGGAUUAGGGCCGUCCUGCGAUCUUCUCCUCCUUCCUGCAAAGGUUGCAUGGAUGGAACCCAAGCCGCGAGGGUGAGGAAGAUUGAAUAUUCUGGACAGAAAAGUGUAGAAGAUGGGGAAUUACAUGGAGAUUAGCCAUUAUCGUGUUAGGGAAGGAAAGCUACAGCAUAAUAGAUGGUGAUUAGAUGGAGAUCUAAUGUUGCCGUGCUAGAGAAGGAAAGCAACAGAAAAUUUGGCAAGUUCAGCGUGGGAGAUGAGAGAUUAAUGGAGAUUACGUGACAUCUCCUUUUUUUUUAUAGAAUGACAUCUCCUGUUUAUUGUAUCAGUAUUAAAGGAGAAGAAAAUUAUGUGAUGAU